ensembl:lncRNA
GGUUGUAGCAAAAUAACAACUGAAUACCAAGCAAUGUCCACUAAUGAACCCCCAAAAGAUGUUAACCCAAAAUGUAAGGUAAAGUUUGCUUUCUGUCUUACAAUAUAACAUUUCCUGUGUGUAGACAGCAUAAACCCAAUGUUGAUAUCAAGCACUCAAAAUGUAAAUCUAAGCCAAAUUCAUACACGGUGUAAAAAAUAAAAUGUCAGGCAUCAUUUAAGGCCUCGUUAUGUAGACAUACACCUACAUCAAUCACGUGCUGACAAUAUUUGUGGAGUCCACGGUUUUACACUCACUAAUGUGAGUACAAUUCCUAAAUUGCCAGCAUUCAGCAUUUUUAAAGAGCACCAUGUUUAAUCCGUUAUGAUUACACAGUGAAACCCAGUGGUGUUGGUCAUUGAUGGCACUAUUGUGUGUGGUGUCUUGGUCGUUAGUUACGUUUGUAUUGUAGGUGGUGCAGUGGAGAUGAACCUGAGGAUAUGGCUGGUUGAGCUCCACAGAUUAUCAGCUCUCUGUGUGGGUGUUUGUUUUUACAGUGGCGGCCUCAAGCAGCACCUUAGUCUUUAGCAGACCACAUGGGAGCUGAUGCAGUACAGAAAGCUUGAGUCAGCGAACACUCUGCCUUAUCAAUCCACAGAGAGAUGUGGUAUACUUCAGUUUCCCCAUCUAAAACAGUCUACACAUGACAGUGGUCAUUCAGCAUUCUAGAAAAUGACCAAUAGUCCAUAAGGGGGACAAACUUUGAAAAGAGCUUUAAUGAAAUCAACAUUUUAAAAGAAUCAGUCUGUUGUGUUGUACCAGUUUUUUUCCCCACUCAUCAAGCAAACUGUGUAAUAUAAAAUUAUAUCAUAAACAAAUCUUCAGUUUUUUUUCAGGAAUACCAUUUCCGUGGAAACUUUUGAAAGGCGAAACUUUCUUCUGAACCUCUACUUCGGACUCUCCAAUCAGCUUCUCCCAAUAUUGCUCCUGGGCGGUAGGUGGGCAAUUGGGACAAUAUUCCAAACUCGCAGUGCUGUCGGCUCUCGCAGUUCAUUUCCCAAAUCCCAUCCUUCUUUCUCCCCAACUCUAUCCAACUGUACCUUACCGUCUUGUCUCAGUUGUUAAUGAGUGUUCACCCACGGGAGAGCUCUCACUAGAUGUCCGGACAUGUUGUCCUAGUUUCUCGGUCCCAGACAACUCCUCACUCAUUCAGGGACAGGAUUAUGUCAUCCUCAAGGUCUGAGCUGUCUGCUGGGUUGACAGAAAGAAAGUAAAAACAGAUUUAGAGGUCUGGGGAAUAACGGGACAGAAUACUGUACAAGUCACGGUGCUGGAGUAAAAAUGCCACAAAG